GGGACGACUAAUACUCUCCUCCUCUCUCUCUCUCUCUCUCUCUGUCUCUCUCCCUCUCCCUCAACUCCCCCAUCUCCGAUCCGUGGGUAGCCUCCCUCAGCUCCUCUCCACGCAUUGAUUAGAAGCCUUCUUCUUUUGGGCCUGGGGGGUGGGGUGUUCUACACGGUUGCUGCUUCUGUCCUUACAAGAUUAUGAGGGAAGAUUGAUCUGGGGUUUUCUACAUGGACAUCAGGUGGUCUUUGCAAGAGAUUAUGGAUGAUGGUGGUUGCUGUUGCUUUGCUGGCACUUCUCUAUUUUAUGGUAGUCAAGGUUGUGGCAUAUUAUAUCUUUUCAAACAGCCAUGUGAGCGCAUUCGGUGAGCCAAAAAAAUGGCACUUGUGUGGUUGAGCGGUAGUAGGUUUGCGUCUCUGUUCAAAGUUCGAACUCCCAAAACAGGAACAUGUUGUGUGUGGUUGAGCGGUAGUAGGUUUGCAUCUCUGUUCAAAGUUCGAACUCCCAAAACAGGAAUAUGUUGUGUCUAAUGGUCAUCUAAUUACCUUUUGUGGGGUGAUCAGGCUCCUUAAAAGGGAUCACAUUGAAUUCAGAACUGGAGGCUACAUUUGCAUUUUUGUAGGUAUGGUUAGAGGUUUCAUAAUUUGUUAAAGAACUAUUUGGUUUUUAUUUUGGACCUUAUAUAUGAAUUGAAAAAUGCAUGUUGAGGAGUUGAAGUAGAUCGUUCGUCUGAUAACACACUUAAGCCUUUUAACCAUGGAGAUGAAUUGAUUGGUUAUCCCUUGCAGCAAA